GGGUGAGAAUCCCGUCCUUGACAUGGACCCCCAAUGCUUUGUGAUACACUUUCAACGAGUCGAGUUGUUUGGGAAUGCAGCUCAAAAUGGGUGGUGAAUUCCAUCUAAAGCUAAAUAUUGGCGAGAGACCGAUAGCGAACAAGUACCGUGAGGGAAAGAUGAAAAGCACUUUGGAAAGAGAGUUAAACAGUACGUGAAAUUGUUGAAAGGGAAACGAUUGAAGUCAGUCAUGCUCUUUGGAUUAAGCCGUUCUGCGGUGUAUUUCAUUGAGCGGGGUCAACAUC
rnacentral:rRNA from 1 species